ensembl:lncRNA
GUUCUGAAAUGUAGACUCUUCUGGUAGCUUUGGAAAAACACCUAAGCCCAAUUGGAGUCAAUGGAAAGUCUCUUUGGACUUCAGUGGGCCUUGGAUCAGGUCUUUAUUGCCUCUGGUUGUUUAGAAGAUGCUUUUCCCGCCUUUCGUCUUAAGUAGAUGCUUGUAAAACUCAGAACUAAGCAAAAGUUGACAUGGAUUUUAAGAAUAACACAGUCAAAAGUUUUGUUGUUGUUGUUUUUUAAAUCUACCCUCAGGCCUUAUGUAAAAGUCCCUCCGUUCUAACUGUCUCAAGCAACAGAUUAAAACCUGACUGUCCAAGUUUAAUCAUAUAUUUUAGUGCCUAGAUACUAGGGCGAUGAGUGCAGUGAAAAUGCAUAUAACUUCAUCUAAUUUCUCAUCUAUAUUAUAUAUGCAUUAGAAUUUUAGACUUGGGGUUCUGGCAGCAAGGAGUUCCCCAAGGACCUUAAUUGUUGUGUCAGGAUCCACAACAGAAUUAGGAGAAUACUGGAAAAAAGGUGUCUGUGAACAUUUGUUCAAAUAAAAACCAGGGGCCAGAUCUGCUGCUGGUAUAAAUUGGCAGAGCUCCAUUGGCAUUAUGCUGCUUCACAUCAUCAGAGGAACUAGCUCCAAGAACUCAUUUUGGAAGGAUGUGAUAUCCUUCUAAACAGGGGAGGGAUAGCAAAGUGGUUUGAGCAUUGGCCUACUAAACCCAGGGUUGUGAGUUCAAUCCUUGAGGGGGCCACUUGGGGAUCUAGGGCAAAAUCAGUACUUGUGAAGGCAGGGGGCUGGACUCAAUGACCUUUCGAGGUCCCUUCCAGUUCUAGGAGAUGGGAUAUCUCCAUCUAUUUCUAUCCCCUUUUAUGAGUUUUCCAUGGCAAGUAAUUUUUUUGGUUCAGAGUUCGCACUGGAAGCACUCGGCAGCCCACGUGGAAAUCUCUCCUUUUACCUUCUCCCAUUGGUAAAAGUUUCAGUCGUCCAAUCUGGGAGAAAAAAAAUACCAACUGACACCGGUGGUCAAUUACACACUGCGAAGAGCCAGCAGUCAAAGGGAAUAGAUCAACGUGUAUGGCGAGAUGCAUGUUGGGCUGAAAAAUUCCAAAGGAGCAAGAACAUAAUGAAAAUCACAGCCUGUCCGAGGGUAAUUUACGAACAGAAAAAAGAGCUAAAUUCAUUGAGGGCCAGAUUUACAAGUGUAAGAACAAUGGGAGACGCUGAGUGCUGGUUGCUGAAAAUCAGAUCUGGAUCAAGUUCCCACCCACCCUCAUCUUUUUAAUGGGCGGAACCAAUACCUCAGAUCCAAAUUUGGGGGCAUUGAAAAUACAGACUGGAGUCUCAAUACGACAGCUUAAGCUCAUCUUUAACAUAAGACAUUAUAUGGACUUUGAAAGUUGGCAUAAGGGAAAACAGAAGGUAAGCCGAGUUUCACGCUUCCCAAUCUUGUCGAUAUCACAAGGGUCAAUACCUUGGGACCUGGCAAAGGUUAAAGUGUGAAGUGCCCCCUUGCUGUGAAAAUCAUAUUUUAUUCCGACCUGAGAUACACAUGGAGCUGUAUAUUAUUAACAGAAUUAUUAGGAGUUCCCUACCUUUCACGGAGAGGAAAAAAAUAGCUGCUUCUUAGCUGCAGAUCUUCACUGCAUAGCCGGAAAGCUUUGAAAAAAAUCACUGCUGUUGGUGACUUCAGUACUAAAAACAAAAAAAAGAAAGAAAGACAAUUCAUCAUUCUUUGGGUUCAGGCAGGCAGCUCUCCCCACCAAGCACUAUGAGGCAUCAUUUCAGAUUCCACUCUCAAGGGUCUCAUUGUUCCAUCUGCAGAACUGCCAAGAAUAGUACA